rfam:Solanum lycopersicum cultivar Heinz 1706 chromosome 1, whole genome shotgun sequence.
UGACUUACCUGGACGGCGUCAAUGGGUGAUCAACAAGGCCUAUGGCCUAGGCUGGUGAACUCCAUUACACUUGGGAGGGGUGCCUGCUCAAGUUGUCGAGCCUACAUCAAUACAUCAUAAUUUGUGGUAGUGGGAGUCUGCAUUCUCGCAGCCCCUAU